GUAAAUGGAAAACCACUGCAGGUUUCUAAGCAGGAGAGGAACAAAAUCAAGUUUGCACUAUGCAAAGAUCAUUCCAGCUACAGCGUACAGAAUGGAAUAAAGAGAUGGAAGGGUGAAUGUGAGGAGAUGGGUUAAGAGGCUGUUGCAGUGAGGGGUGUGAGAGAUGAUGGUGGCUGGGCCCCAGGUGGUGGCAGUGAAAAGGAGAGAAAUGAGCGUAUUCAAGAGCCCUUUAGGAAGGGAACCCUCAGUUCAUCCUCCAAACAGCAGCAAGAUUUGGAAGGUAAGUCAGAUAACAACUGUCCUCAAUUUAAAUCCUUUCAAAGGCUUCCUGGUGCCCUUGGGAUGAAAUCUGGAAUCAUUUCCAACAAGACUGUCUCCGGGACUCUCUGGUGUCUACAUUGCCAGCCCCUGGCUCUCUGUUUCCAUGUUUUUCAUGUGUUAGUUCUUCUGCCUGAAGCCCUCUUCUGACAACUUCCACACUGAGGGCUCCUCCUUGUUUUUUAAGCCUCAGCUUAAAUAUACCCUCCUCCCAGCAAACUUCCUGGACCAUCCCAUCUAUAAAAGCCAUUCAGAAAGAGGAAAAGUUGAAGACAGAAGCUGAAUAAAGAAGUCUUUCAAUGGAAGAUACCUGCAAUGAAACAACUCUUGCCUUCUUUUUAAAAACACUUCUAGAAAUGGGGGGAAAAAAUGAAGAAACAGAUGGAGAAGGUGUCAGACUCUAACACUCUCAAGCCAGAAUAUAGAGUACAGUAUAAUGAAACAACAAAGUCCACUUGCUAAGUCUUAGCAAACAUUUCUGAAAACAUCCAUUAGCCUCUUUUUCCUUUGAAUAAGUGACUGUUCUGCCAGAGUGUUGCUUCUUAGCUGGACAUUUUACUUCAACAAAGAGAAAGAAAACCCUCCUUUUACCAUCUUAACAGAAUCAAGACAUUAAUGGGAUCAAAUUUUCAUGGUCCAGAAGGAUUCCAAUAACUGAUUUUCUGUCCUCAGCUGUGUAAGGGAAUUCACCAUGUCUAUUUGUUCAUGCGUAUUAUAAACAUUUUCAACAUCUUUUGUGAAAAUUUCAUUAUAACCAGCUAAGGGCAUUGGUUUUUCAAACCUCUGGAAGUGUUAAGAAGAGUUUGGGUAGACUCUCUUCUGAAUAAAAGAAUGAUUACUCUGAUCGUUCUUCCUAAGGAAUAUUUUAAGAUUAUGAAUGCAUUGUAUCAUGUGCAUUUAACUCAACUCUACUUUUUUAUGAGCAUCUAGUGGCUCUUAAAAACACAAUAAAAUUUGAUCUAAAAGUCCACAAAAACUCAGAUAAGAGAAAAUUACCUAUUUCUGAAUCCUCUUUGGAGAAUGUUUUAGAGAGUCUGAAAAAGGACAUUGAUGGAUUCCUGCAGAAGGAAGUUUAAGAAGUAAUAAUAUCUGAGCUGGGUGGAAAAAAAACAAAAAGAUGCUGAAGUGUUUCCAGUGUAUUCUGCUGAUGCUUUAAGUUCUGCACUGUAGUAAUUGGAAUGGGAUUUCAUUACGAGAAGUUUUUACCCAAUCACACCAACUGCAUCCUUGUAAGAGUGAUGGAGACUAAGCGUACCUGUGAUGACCAUUACCAUAAGUCUCCAGGGAAACAACUCAGGAAGUUAUCAAAGCUAUAAAAGUAUAGAGGAAAAGCAUAACAUGCUGCCAACAAGCCCAACACUCCAAAAUACUUGAAGCUUUAAAAUAAAAUAAAUAAAUAACUUACAGAAUUCCACCUAAACAAUCAUGAAGAAAAAAGAGGCUUUCUUUUGAAGAUUUUAAUACUACAAACAACACAUUUCCCUUGAGAAAUAUUACUCAUACUUCUUUUUUCUUCAAAGAAUAUACAGAUUUAGUAAGAUUGUCAAGUACAGUGCAGUUGAAAGUUUAAACAGUUAAAAUUAGCCAUCAAAGCAGAUAAUUCUUUCUAUUAUAAGUUAUUUAAAUAUAAGAAUUAUUUGUGCUUCUUUUGUGUUUCUAUUUCAGCUUCCAGAGGUGUGUGUCUAAAUAAUACUUGGACAAGACAUUUAAUAGAAAUCUGUUACAUACGAUGGCAAAAUUCUCAACUCCAAGCUCUACACCUGGGAUGCACAUUUUCCUUCUUGUCCAGAGCUGUCUUUGAAAUUCGUAGGCUCUUCAUGCAAUGUGAUAAGUGGUUUAAGGGCAAAAGGUGGCGUUAGCUGGUGGAUCUUUUUUCUAGCCUUUUUAGUGGUCUUCAGGCCAACAAUCUGAGAGGCAGUCUCCUGUUUUAAAGUUCCUGCUUAGUGAGGAAAGAUGGAGUGCCCUAAAUCUUUACUCCCAUAGGCAAGGCGAUGUGCAGACCAGUACAGCAGCCUCAAGCCUGCCUUCUUCAGAGCAGGACUUUCCCAGCUUCUGCCAUAUUUCCCUCAGGGCUUAACGGCAUUGGUCAAGCCUAAACCACUCUGGUUCUAGCUAGAAUUGACCAACAGCGGACCAAGAACAUCUGGUUUGUACCUCCUAACUUGACUUACUAUGUGAGGUAAGAAAACCGAAGUUAACUAUUGCUAGCAGAGUCCAAAGACAAAUGAGAGAACAAAGGUGAGAGAGGUAAUUUUUAAAACUUCAACUAGCAGGUGGUUCUGAGUAUUUAUUUUAUAGUAAAUACAGCAGACUCCUGUUGUCUGCCUGACCCACAUCUUCAGCAGAUCCGAAGCUCUGCUCUUGAUGGUCAAGGAAGGCAGAGGCCCUCUUCUCUCCCAGAAAAGAGAGAGAACCCUGCCUAAGGAAGAGGGAGGAGGACAAGGACAGAUCUGUACAUCCCUGGAACUCUCUGAGCCCAGAGUUCAUUCCUUCUCCAUUUUUAGAGUAUUCUUCCUCUUUAAAUAUGCAUAUUCUAUCCUCAGUUCCUUUGUUCCCACUCCAAUAACUCUCCUCGGGAAAAGUCUGAACCCUUAGCUCCAAUGAUCAGGGAGGAUUCAGUUUUUGUGAAGGCAGAAAUUUACACAAUUUUGAAAAAGAACGCAAAGUUGCCAAUACGAAAUUAGGUAUGAAAGUGAAGGUUUACUAAGAAUAAGAAAAGAAAACACAACACAUUAGUGGGUAGGUCAUGGCUGGUCCUAAGUGCUACCCACCAGGCCCCUUCUACCAUCAGAGGAUUUAGACCAGGGCUGCCACUGCUACCAAAACUACGACGCCUACCCUCACUCCCACUGUAUUGAUUUCCAUUUUCACACAAUUGUGCUUUAGAAAAUUUCCCCUUUUGCAAAUAAGGUGCCUAGUCAGUUGAGAGAUUUAACUAAUGCUUAUGGGUCUUUUGUGCAAUAUUUCAUUAAGCUGUUGCAUAUCCUGUUUGAUAACUACAAAAGGAAAUGAACACAGUUAUUACAAUUAAAAAAAAAUCUUUCGGACAUA